rnacentral:rRNA from 1 species
AUUAUUAUAAGUAAAAUCUGCUCAAUGAUAUUUCAAUAGCUGCAGAAUUUUAACUGUACUAAGGUAGCAUAAUCAUUUACCUUCUAAUUAAAGGUUUGCAUGAAUGAUUUUACAAUUAAAUUACUUUUUUAUUAAUACAAAUAAAAGUUAAAUUAAGAAUAAAAAUGUUCUUAUCUUCUUAAAAGACGACAAGACCCUAUUGAACUUAACUAAAGUUAAGCUGGGGAAGCUAAUUAAAUACUAUUUUAAUUUUCCUAAAAAAUACUUUCCUAAAAAAUUUAUAAAGAAAAGUUACCAUAGGGAUAACAGCGUAAUAAAUUUUUUAAGUUCUUAUUUAAAAAUGAGUUUACGACCUCGAUGUUGAAUUAAAAUUACUUUAAAACGCAGUAGUAUAAAAGUAGGUCUGU